UAGGGAAUCUUCGGCAAUGGGGGGAACCCUGACCGAGCAACGCCGCGUGAGUGAAGAAGGUUUUCGGAUCGUAAAGCUCUGUUGUUAAGGAAGAACGAGUGUGAGAAUGGAAAGUUCAUACUGUGACGGUACUUAACCAGAAAGGGACGGCUAACUACGUGCCAGCAGCCGCGGUAAUACGUAGGUCCCGAGCGUUGUCCGGAUUUAUUGGGCGUAAAGCGAGCGCAGGCGGUUAGAUAAGUCUGAAGUUAAAGGCAGUGGCUCAACCAUUGUAGGCUUUGGAAACUGGUUAACUUGAGUGCAGAAGGGGAGAGUGGAAUUCCAUGUGCAGCGGUGAAAUGCGUAGAUAUAUGGAGGAACACCGGUGGCGAAAGCGGCUCUCUGGUCUGUAACUGACGCUGAGGCUCGAAAGCGUGGGGAGCGAACAGG
rnacentral:rRNA from 1 species